rnacentral:lncRNA from 1 species
GGUGCUAUCAUUCAAAAAAGGGCUCCAAAUAAACUUUUUACUAAUAAAAAUCAGCGACAAAAGUGCAUCCAUAUUUUUGUCUUAAGUUCAAAUACAGAGAACAAAUAACCAUAACUGUUACAAUUUAAAAAAAAAAAACAAAACAAGUCCUUAUUAUUGGAAACUUCUCUCAUAAUCACUCAACCAAAUAAAGCCAUUCUAUUUACAUGCUUUGAAGCAAAAUCAUCAAUCAAAGACUCAACAUCUAAUUCUUCCAAAAAACUAUUCUCAAUUGCUAUUAAAGCUAAUCCACUUAAUCUUUCUUGUGACAUAGAUGCUCUUAGAUAUGACUUUAAAAGCUUCAGUUUGGAGAAACUUCUUUCUGCAGAAGCAACAGUAAUAGGAACAGUUAGUAAAAUUCUAUAUGCAGUUGUAGUAUUAGGAAAACUAUCAAAUUCUACAAGAAAAUUCAAAACAUCACAUGCACCCAUCCUUUUGUUUGGUAAAUGUUCUUUAAGAAAUUUAAGUUCAAGAAAAAGUUCAUCCCCAUCUAUAUCUAUCAAAUCUUCAGUUUUUAAACUAUUUUCUAAAAAACUACAACAUGAUUUUAAACUAUCAUCAUACAUCUUCAACUUAGCAGAAUCAAAUAAAAAACUAAAUAUGUUUUCAUAUAGUUUAUAUUGUUCAAAUCUCUUAUCAAGAGAACUAAUGGCAUGAUCUAUUAUAUACAAAAAAUAUUGAAUCCUAAAAUUCUCUUCUACAGAUAAUAUAGUUUCAUUAUCACUAGUUUCAUCAAACUGUUUUUUUCUACGAAUAACACGUUUUUGAAUAAAAACUGGUUCAAUACCAAUUUCAUUAGCAAUUUCUUUUGCUUUCAUCAUAGCAUCAACAAAACCAGUUUCUCUAUACUUUUUAAAAUAAGAAAUCAGUCCACUUACCUCGGUCAUGGCAAUGUCAAUUUGCAUAUCCUUUGACUGUAAUUUUUUGCUAACCAUAUUCACCACAUGCAAUAUGUCAAACCAAAUAACACUAGAUAAUAUAAAUUCAAAACUACUAAGUUCGUUUAUUGCUAAAGACUUUGAUUCACUUUGAAUCAAAGGAUCAUUAUCAUUUUCACUCACUUGAAAUAAAGCUUCUCUUAUAUCUAUAAUCUGAAAUUUUAUGGCUUUAAUACUUUCAAUACGACUUUCCCAUCGGGUUGUUGAUAAUUGCUUAAGAGUAGUAAAAAAUUUCACAUUUGCUUUCAAAAUAUCCCAUCUUCUUACAGAAUUAGCAAACAAAGAAUACAAAUGCUGCACCACACAAAAAAAAAACUUUUGACUUUCACAGAAUUAUUUGCAAUAUCACACAAGACCAAAUUUAAACUAUGACAAGCACAUGGUGUAUAAAAAGCUCUAGGAUUUAUAUCCAAAAAUCUUUUUUUUUGUACACCUUGUUUAUGUCCUUUCAUAUUUGAUCCAUUGUCUUCUAUGGUAUAUAUGGAAAGGAAGGAACAAUAAGGUAUUUAACAAUUUGGAUAUUGACCCAGGGCUGUGCCUGAUACCAAGCAGAUCAAGCAUUGGCUUUGGGGCGAACAAGAAAAUAUUUAUUUUAGGGGCCAAGAAUAAGUGAAGUUUCUCUCUAGUUCUGGUGGCAAAAGCUAGAUAUGUAACAGCGGGAGGUUAUAGGUUCGAAUCACAUGGGAACCACCUUUUAAUAUUUUCAUGUUUUAUUUAGAUAAUGGGCCAAAAAAAUUUUUUUGCUUCUGGGCCCGAAAUUUUCAGGCCCGGCCCUGAUGAUGUGUGACAAGUUGUAUGUCUAUGAACAAAGAUAUUAUGGUGUGAAAUUUAGGGUAUUGAAUUAAUCACGAGAAAAGUUGUAUAUAUGGGAUUCAAUUUCACUCAGCACAGUGACGACACCUUGAUCAAACAACAUUUCAUUCUCCAUAUUCUUUGAGUUUGAUCUAGUUCGUUUCCGUAUUAAUUUUUAUAUCUCGAAUAUCUAUAUAUAGUUAUUUGAACAUCGUAUAAAUUUUCAUCUCCCAAUUUAAGAAGAAUAUCAUUUAUUUUCACAUUCUUAUGUUAUUUAUAGUUAUUUACUUAUUUAGAAGAUUUGUGUUGUUUUGUUUGUUAAUUUACAAAUUCGAAAGUACGUAUAUGUGUAUUGACAUAUAUGUGUAUGUGUACUGAAUAGGGUCAAUUUUUAGUGUAAAGAAGACGACCACGGGACGGUGAACUACUUUUUUAUAUUUAUUUCCCCUGAAUGUCGGCUAAACCCCCCUAAGCAAUCCACUAAUUAACUAAUACAGCACUUUACGGUUAUAUUCAAGAACAGUAAAAGGUGGUGAAAAAGCACUCGUGAGAUGUCUAUAACAAAUACAUACUCCCUAAAUUUUUUUUUUUUUUUGAACAUUACAUCCUUCUCUUUAGACUUUUUAUUAGUUCUCAAAAAAAAACUAUGAAAAUGAGAAAUAAACCCUAUUGUAUCCCCCACUUUUUAUUAGUUCUCAAAAAAAAACUAUCAAAAAAUUAUAUUAUGAUUUAAGUAGUGAAAAGAUUAUAUAUUAGCAUUAAGGAAAUUUAUUUAAUAAAAAUUUUAAAUGAUGAUCCAAAUAAAAAUAUCACACAUGAAUCAAUGUGAGUUUGUUAACCAAUCCGGAUUUUUAGGAGGCGAUGUUAUAUUAGGAAUGAUAUAUUAUUAAUCAAUAUUAUUAAUAAUAAAUGAAUGAUAAGUGAUUUCUAGUGAUGGUCAAUUUUUUAAAAAAUCACACAUGAAUCAAAGUUGUGACUUCUGUUUUAAUAUAUAAGAUUAAGAAAAGUUUUGAUUUUUAAUGAAAUAUUAUUGAGUUUUUGUUGGUAAAGAAUGCUAAGAUCUAUAGUGACUAUAAGUAUAAUUAUUAAAUUUAAUUAUGAGUAGAAAUAAAUGGGUCAAGUAGGGCUGUGCAAAAUAGUUGGACAAAUCUGACCCGAAAAAGUAGUAUCAAACCUGAACCAAAACUGAUAAAAUACCGAAUGGAUCCAAAAUUUUAAUAUUUGAAGAACCGGAACCAAACUCGAUUUGAACCAAAAAAUUUUGGAUACCCGGAUGAUUAUUAUAUACUUAAAUUUUUAGCUAUUUUGGAUUUAAUAUCUAUAAAAUAUUCAAAAUACAUGAAAAUAUCCUAAAUAAACAAAAACAGUCACAAAUAAUAUCUGAAAAUAGCUAAACACCAAAAUAUCUACAAUGUGUAUUUGUUAUCCAUCCAUAUAUCCAAAUUGAACUAAAUUUUAUUUUAGGUUUUUAAUCUUACAUUAUUUAAAUCUAUAUGUUGUAUAUUAUUUUUAUUUUUGAAUUUGUAAGGAUUUUAAGAUAUAUUUAGAUUUUUUUUUUAAAUUGCAUAAUUUAAAUUAGUACACGAACUGAACUCAUAAGGAUCCGAACCGAACCAAAAUUUAUAAAUAUCCGAAUGGAGCUUAAAGUUUUUGUUCCCAAAAAAUAUGAAAUCCGAAUAGACCUGACCCAAAUUCGAAUUGGUACCCAAACACCACCCUUAGGAGCAAGUGUACUUAUAAAAUAAGUGAUACUUGUAAAUUAAUUGAUUUUAGUUAGGAAUGCGAUUGUUUAAUAAUUAGCACAAAUAUACAUUUUAUAUUUAGGACAUAUUUAUUUUCAAUGAUUAAUUAAGUAAUUUAUAAAUUAUUAUAUUAAAUUAAAUAAAAAAGUUAAACGCUCAAUAAAAUAUAAUUUUAUAAAAAAUAUGUAACUAAUUGAUAGUAAUUAUUUAUCAACUUUUUCGGAUAUCAUCACAAGAAGUGAUUUUGAUUGUUCUAUAGGAAUUAUUAGAUUAUUCACCUAUUAAAUCAUAUAUUAUAUCUAUGAUAAGCCAUUACUAUAAUUUAUAAUUAAAAUACUAAAUUAAAAUAAUAUAAAACAAUAAUUUAUAAUUUAUUAAUUUUUAAUAUCUACUUAGAAAUGAGCUUAAAUAUUAUAUAUUAAGGUAGUUUAUAAAAUUAUUAUUAUGAAGAAUGAUGACUCAACCUAGAAUUACAGAAAACAUGAAAAAUUAUCAAAAUCAUUUCUUAAAUAAUUAUAAUACUUAAUUUAUAUUUCUAAAUUACUUUAUUUUAGAUACAUAUAUGAUUGUUUAAUAUUUAGCACAAGUAUAUAGUGUAUAUUUACGACAUAUAUAUUUUCAAGAUUCGUUAAUUAAUUGAUAAUUUACUAAAUUAAAUGAAAUAUAAAAUUAAAUGCUUAAUCAAAUCUAGUUUUAUUUGAUUAUUUACCAACUCUUUGGGAAAUCAUCAUAAGUGAUUCUAAUUGCUCUAUUGAGCUUAUCAUAAGAGGUAGUUCACCUGUUAAAAUCAUAUAUUAUUUAUAUGAUAGUCCAUUAUUAUAACUUAUAAUUGAAAUAAUAUACAACAUUAAAGUUAGAAACUAUAUAUAAGACACAUCAAACUAUAAUAUUAUCAAUAAAAUUUGCUAAUUUUACUAUCUACUUAUUAAUUAUCCUAAUUAUAUAUAUAUAUAUAUAUAUUAAGAUAGUUUUAUAAUAGUAUUAUUAUUAAAAUAAUAACUCAAUCUAAAUUUAAGGAGAACGUGGCAAAUCACCAAAAGUAUUUAUUAAAUAAUAAUAUAGAUAGUAAAUCUACGUACUUGUCACCUGACUUAUAAUGACAGUAAAUACUUGUUUUUUUGUUUCAUACCGGCUACUACUGAUCAAGUAAUGAAUAGAAAGACAAAUAACGAGCAGUACCUUACUCUAGCAUCGAACAUUCGCGUUGAAUACUUGCACUGUGCACUGCCAGCAGGCCCGGCUCAGUCGGUACCUUGACCUGGUGCUAUCAUUCAAAAAAGGGCUCCAAAUAAACUUUUUACUAAUAAAAAUCAGCGACAAAAGUGCAUCCAUAUUUUUGUCUUAAGUUCAAAUACAGAGAACAAAUAACCAUAACUGUUACAAUUUAAAAAAAAAAAACAAAACAAGUCCUUAUUAUUGGAAACUUCUCUCAUAAUCACUCAACCAAAUAAAGCCAUUCUAUUUACAUGCUUUGAAGCAAAAUCAUCAAUCAAAGACUCAACAUCUAAUUCUUCCAAAAAACUAUUCUCAAUUGCUAUUAAAGCUAAUCCACUUAAUCUUUCUUGUGACAUAGAUGCUCUUAGAUAUGACUUUAAAAGCUUCAGUUUGGAGAAACUUCUUUCUGCAGAAGCAACAGUAAUAGGAACAGUUAGUAAAAUUCUAUAUGCAGUUGUAGUAUUAGGAAAACUAUCAAAUUCUACAAGAAAAUUCAAAACAUCACAUGCACCCAUCCUUUUGUUUGGUAAAUGUUCUUUAAGAAAUUUAAGUUCAAGAAAAAGUUCAUCCCCAUCUAUAUCUAUCAAAUCUUCAGUUUUUAAACUAUUUUCUAAAAAACUACAACAUGAUUUUAAACUAUCAUCAUACAUCUUCAACUUAGCAGAAUCAAAUAAAAAACUAAAUAUGUUUUCAUAUAGUUUAUAUUGUUCAAAUCUCUUAUCAAGAGAACUAAUGGCAUGAUCUAUUAUAUACAAAAAUAAUGAAUCCUAAAAUUCUCUUCUACAGAUAAUAUAGUUUCAUUAUCACUAGUUUCAUCAAAAUGUUUUUUUCUACGAAUAACACGUUUUCGAAUAAAAACUGGUUCAAUAUCAAUUUCAUUAGCAAUUUCUUUUGCUUUCAUCAUAGCAUAACAAAACCAGUUUCUCUAUACUUUUUAAAAUAAGAAAUCAGUCCACUUACCUCAGUCAUGGCAAUGUCAAUUUGCAUAUCCUUUGACUGUAAUUUUUUGCUAACCAUAUUCACCACAUGCAAUAUGUCAAACCAAAUAACACUAGAUAAUAUAAAUUCAAAACUACUAAGUUCGUUUAUUGCUAAAGACUUUGAUUCACUUUGAAUCAAAGGAUCAUUAUCAUUUUCACUCACUUGAAAUAAAGCUUCUCUUAUAUCUAUAAUCUGAAAUCUUAUGGCUUUAAUACUUUCAAUACGACUUUCCCAUCAGGUUGUUGAUAAUUGCUUAAGAGUAAAAAUUUUCACAUUUGCUUUCAAAAUAUCCCAUCUUUUUACAGAAUUAGCAAACAAAGAAUACAAACGCUGCACCACACCAAAAAAAUCUUUGACUUUCACAGAAUUAUUUGCAAUAUCACACAAGACCAAAUUCAAAAUAUGACAAGCACAUGGUGUAUAAAAAGCUCUAGGAUUUAUAUCCAAAAAUCUUUUUUGUACACCUUGUUUAUGUCCUUUCAUAUUUGAUCCAUUGUCAUAACCUUGACCUCUCACAUUAUCUAAAUCAAGAUCUAAAGACAUUAAUACAUAUUUUAACACUUCAAAAAGUCCUAAGCCUGUUGUGUUAUCUACUUUUAAAAAUUCUACAAAAUACUCUUCUACCUUAUAAAAAUUUGAGGAAAAAUGAACACACCUUAGAAUUAAUGUCAUUUGCUCUUGAUGGCUAGCAUCAGGAGUACAAUCCAAAAUUACUGAAAAAUAUUUUGCCUCUUUUAUCCUUGUAAUGAUUUUUAAUUUAAUUUUUGAAGAAAUCAAAAGAAUUAAUUCAUUUUGAAUAUUAUGACCAAGAUAAUGAUGAUGAAUACUACCACUUGUAAUUCGAUAAACAUGUUCUUUUAUAACACUAUCAAAUUCUGCUAACAUCUCUAUUAAUCCUAAAAAAUUACCAUUACUAUUUUCAUAUAACUUUUCAUGUGUUCCACGAAAUGCCAAAUUAUGCUUAGCAAGAUAUUUCACAAUAGCAAUAAUCCUUAUUAAUACAUUUUUCCAAUAUUCUUUUUCUUUCUUAAAUUGUUCUUGAGCAACUUUAUCAAUAGUUUCAUUUUUUUUAAUCUAUGUCUUAAUUCAAUCCAAGCACUCAUGUUAAGCAUAUGUUCCUUACUUUUUUCAUGCUCUUUUAAUCUAAGAAGUAAAUGAGACCAAUC